rnacentral:rRNA from 1 species
CAGCAGCCGCGGUAAUACAGAGGAUGCAAGCGUUAUCCGGAAUGAUUGGGCGUAAAGCGUCUGUAGGUGGCUUUUCAAGUCCGCCGUCAAAUCCCAGGGCUCAACCGGGGAGGGUCAUUGGAAACUGGGAAACUUGAGUGCAGAAGAGGAGAGUGGAAUUCCACGUGUAGCGGUGAAAUGCGUAGAGAUGUGGAGGAACACCAGUGGCGAAGGCGACUCUCUGGUCUGUAACUGACGCUGAGGAGCGAAAGCGUGGGGAGCGAACAGGAUUAGAGACCCCCGUAGUCCCUGUCUCUUAUAC